rnacentral:rRNA from 1 species
CACGUAGGGGGCAAGCGUUGUCCGGAAUCAUUGGGCGUAAAGAGCUCGUAGGCGGCUCGGUAAGUCGGGUGUGAAACCCCCAGGCUCAACCUGGGGACGCCACCCGAUACUGCUGUGGCUAGAGUCCAGUAGGGGAGUGUGGAAUUCCCGGUGUAGCGGUGAAAUGCGCAGAUAUCGGGAGGAACACCAGCGGCGAAGGCGGCACUCUGGGCUGGAACUGACGCUGAGGAGCGAAAGCCAGGGGAGCAAACGGG